rnacentral:snRNA from 1 species
CUCACUUCGGUGCUAGAUAUACUAAAAUUGGGACAAUACAAAGAAAAUUAGCAUGGCCCCUGCUCAAAAAUUACACGCAAAAUCGUGGUACCGCCGAGAGUGAGGAUAAUCAACUUUU